UGGAAGCACAAGAUCACCAAACUAAUAAAGAAUAAAAAGAAAAAAUGGUAAUUAUCCGCUGAUGAAGUUAGCAGAUAAUUAUGCAUAUCUUGGUGAGUUCCUCUCAGCAGUUGACUCAAUGAGAAGUAGUUUCUCUUGGGAGGCGUUCUCCCUCAUUUAAGCCAGCAUGCUGCUGAAACAAAUGAUAAAUCAAUGAAGCCCUUAACUUAUAUAUAGAACAAAGCUCCCUCCCAAACCUUGUGUUCACGAGCAACAUGUUGGAACACACAAAUAUACAAUAUCAACUCCAUGUCACAAGGCAUGUCUGGCUACUCCCAAUGACUGCAGCAUCUGCUGUAGCUGCUGCAGCGUAGGCCUCUCACUGAUUUGAGUGAUUCUCUCUCUCUGUGUCUGUGUUACAUUUGUUAACAUAUAUUCACCUAACAUGCUUUAUUCAGAUUGUUUUCACUGCUGACAAACAUCAAACAAACAUUUCUGAAAAUUUAUGUUAGGGCUGCAACAAUUCAUCGAGUUUUUGAAUGAUUCGAUUAUAAAAAGUUUUCUUUGCUUCAAUGUUUUGUUUAACGCACGGCACUGUAACGUGCCAUUGUUACCAUGAAAAUGCGAACGAUAGCCUUUCAACCAUAUUUGCAAGUAAAAACAGACCAGCAAUACAAAUGUGUGAAUAAAAAGUUUGACAACAUUAAGUCCACAGCCUCCAGUUGAAGGCUGAAACAGAAACACUGAUAACACACAGCAGCAGUGAUGAUGACGCUGGCACAGUUUUACGAAGAGCAAAAAGACUUAGCCAUUACUGAUACGGUGACCUCAGGUUGAGAAAAAACUAGCGGGAGUCGUUCAUCAAAGCACCUGAUCAGCAAACUGUGACAUGAAGAAAACCACAAAGCUGCUCCAUCCACUGCUGUUUUACACAGAGAAAAAUCUGCAGUAACCGUCCAGACGUAAUGAAAUACAGAUAAACUUUUUACUUAGUUUUCAAAAGUACCCGUGUACGUGUGGACGUACCCUGAUACUAACAGUGGAAUGAAGACAUAAGCCACAAAUAAACUGGGUGUAAUUUGACAGGAUAAAUUUAACAAUAAGACAAUAGAAAUUAACAGUAUGCUGAGAAUUUGAACAACCACAGUGAGACGUAAAUAAGAGAGUACAAUGGCAGCUAACAUUUCUGCAACACUUGAAGAAGAAGAACCAGCACCACCAGCGUAAUUGCACAUGUCCAAUUCAUAUAAUGCCGCAGAGGUAGGUGACGUGCAGCCUGUGUGGUAUUGUGGAGGUAAACACAGACGACACGAGAGCUCUCGAUUAACACUCCUGGUUUAUUGCUCAUCACCGCACAACUGAAUACUUUUCGCUCCAAAACACAACAACAACACUUCCUGUAAACUGGGUGUGAGUGGAGCCCUCCAGUGGUCCACCACACAUGCCCCCCCUUGCUCCACCGGAGAGGUGGAGAACUGGCUGAUGGGAACCAAGCCUGAGGACCAGACUGGCAUGGGCGGUCAGGAAAAGCUGAAGAUAGCUCAGGCUCCACUGGAUGGGGAGCGCUCCCAGAGGAAGAAGCAGAGUCCGCCAGUCCAGUGGCGGGGGGCCUGGGCCGGCACCGCCUGAUCAUUCAGCAGAACAUGUGCAGGUUUAAGUCUAUCAAUGGAAACAACCUCCUGCCGACCCCCAAAGUCCAAAAGGAAAUCCUUCCAGCCCAGUUGUAUAACCCUAAAUGGGCCGUCAUACAGUGGAUGCAACGGGAGGCCUAUGAGAGUCAUGCCUGACGAAAACAAACUGAGAAGAGUCCAAUGACCUUGGAACAAAAGUGUUGUGCAGACAAUGGUGCACUUGGCCAGGAACACAACACGAGUCUCUUGGGGGACUGAGAGAUAGCACAGAGGGAUCGAAGCACGGGGGUGGGCUCUCAGGCAAGAAUUCCCAGGGCAACCUGGAGGGGCUGGCCGAGGACAAAUCAAAUCAAAGUUUAUUUCUAUAGCACAUUUUAAAAGUCUAGUGUACAUCAAAGUGCUUCACAAUAAUACCGCAAUGUGGACAGAACAAGGAACAAAUAGUAUAAUUGGAAUUAAAAAUUUAGUUACAUGGUGUAGUGCAGGCCGAGUGAAAGUCAUCUAAUUUGCUUCAAAAGCUGAACAGGUGGGUUUUUAAGCGCGAUUUGAAUGACUGAAUAGAUUCCAAUGUACGUAUUACAACUGGGAGAUUAUUUCAGAGUCUAGGAAUAGCAAAGGCAUGGUCACCUGUGACUUUUAAACGAGAUCUUGGUUGCAUUAGGAGCAGUUGGCUGGAGUGUGUCAGCCAAGUUCAGCCGGGGGAAACCCUGAGGUCUUCUUUAACCGCGCAGCGCAACCCCAGUAAAACCCACGGAAGGUGGUCAACUCAGUUGCCAUCUGUAAGAGAAGCCCGGAGCGCGGCCUUAAGCGACCGGUGGAAUGGCUCGCACAUCCCGUUGGCUUGCGGGUGGUACGCAGUGGUUCGGUGGACCUUGACCCCCAGGCCGUCAACCAUGGCAGACCAAAGCUCCGAAACGAACUGGGGCCCCUGUCUGAGAUGAUGUCGACGGGGGGACCGAUUGACAUCGUGGCCACAACUGCCACAACUGCUGCUGUAGUGAACGCCAGAGGCACUGCCUCGGGCCACCAGGUCGUGUGGUCCACUACAGUCAAAAGCUGCAUGAGACCAACCAGAUCCACAUGCACAUGAUCAAAACGCCUCCCUGGAACGCGGAAGGAUUCGAGGGGCACCUGUGUGUGCCUAUGAAUCUUAGCGUGUUGUCAUGCUGCUGCCCAGUCCUUCACCUAUUUGCGAAGGCCCAGCCAAACUAACCUGGAGCUGACCAGCUUGACCGAGGCCCGGACACCUGAAUGAGAGAGGGCAUGUACUGAGUCGAAAAUGUGACGACGCCACAAAAGGGGAACUACCUGAUAUCGAUGGCCGGUCGAAACAUUGCAAAGCAGGCUAGGCCCGCCGUUCCACAUGGGUCUGACCUCCAGUACAAGGCCUCUUUGCGCAGACCAAAGGACAAGGACGCCCAGGUUGGCACGCUGGUCCCCGGCCAAAGUCUAUGCCGACAUAAACAGGAGAAACCAGCAGGCAGGACAGACAGUCAGCCACGUGGAAUGGCGCCUAAUUACAGACAUAAAGACAACUGACUCUUCUACACUGGCCCCAGUAUGCAGUGCAUGCACCUGGUAGUCAUGUCAGAGGAGGAGAAGAAGUCAGUUUUGAUGGAAUACCACAAUAACCCUGGUACUGGAAACCACAAUGGUGUCAGAGGUACCUGAAACAGGGUCGUUGCUGGCUAUUACUGGCCAACAUUGAACCAGGACAUCGGUGAAUGGAAAUAUUGUUUGGAAUACAUCCUUCAGGUCAUCGCUGCUAGAUGAAUGACCCAAUCAAGACCGUGGCACCAGCAUUACAUCCCAUCAAGGUAAAAGAACCUUGGGAGGUGCUGGUCAUGGAUUUAAUUGGACCACUCCUGGAAACACGUCUAGAGAACCGAUGUGUCCUGACCAUGACCGAUCUGUAUACUAAGUGGGUGAUUGCAGAACCUCUUAAGUCCAAGACUGCAGCUGAGGUCUCUGCAAUCAUGACCUCUAAGUUAUACAUGUUUGGCAUGGUCAAGAAAAUCAUCACUGACCAAGGAAAGGCGUUUUUGAACCAGGUUCUUCGCAACAUUGAGAGGGCACAGGACACCUAGAGGAAGACCUUUGGAAUCUGGAAAAGGAAGCAGGUAAGACAGUGUGUUGUUCAAGCAGGUGAUGAUGUUCUUUUGUCAGGAGAUCCUAAAAAGGAGACGCACAGGAGAUGCAUUAUUCAGCCAGCAACAUGGAGUGUUCACUGUGGCUAGCAUUACACCAAAGGGGGUGGCCACUAUUGUGAAGGGAGCAACUUGCCAGAAUGUAAACGUGUCCAGGCUGAGGAACUACCACAGGUCAAAAAAUCCACAACUGAGAGGAAGUUUCUCCUGGACCACUCAUAUGGGACUCCUGAAUGGCAGAUUGAUCAUCAGUAUGCCAGUCCAGGAGCAAAGUGGCAGAAAGACUUGGACCUUCCUCAGUCCAGUCUGUUAAGGUGGAAUAUGUCUUGGACCAAAACCGACCUCCAGGAGAACUCCUAGUGAAGGAAGACAAUAUCUGCCUGACUGGGGAAGACUUUUGGAGCCUGGGUUUGGAACAAUCCAUGGAAUCUACUGGAAAAGAUGUUCACAUUGCUGACCUCUACGUCGGGGUCCCCUGGAAGGAUCCACAAGUCAACCUGCUGCGUUGCUUGCUGGAGAGUAGCAGCCUUUAUUGACUCUGGGUCCUGGAUGGAUAACAGGAAGAGACCUUGAGUUUUUUCCCUGCCGCAUCUUUAUGCUGAUGGGGGAAAUGCCAGCAAUUCGCCUGUGGUGGUGUAUUCAGCUGAUGGAGAAAUUCUGCAUUGAGGGGUAUGGCUGAUACUAUAGACAAACUAACAUAAUCGCAGUUGGUAUUAUUUGGCUCAGGCAAGACAUCAGCUCAAGCAAAUGUUUGUGAAAGUGGCUUAAUGUAAUCACUUAUAAACAUG